UACGUAGGGGGCAAGCGUUGUCCGGAUUUAUUGGGCGUAAAGAGCGUGUAGGCGGCCAGACAGGUCCGUUGUGAAAACUGGAGGCUCAACCUCCAGACGUCGAUGGAAACCGUCUGGCUAGAGUCCGGAAGAGGAGAGUGGAAUUCCUGGUGUAGCGGUGAAAUGCGCAGAUAUCAGGAAGAACACCAAUGGCGAAAGCAGCUCUCUGGGACGGUACUGACGCUGAGACGCGAAAGCGUGGGGAGCGAACAGG
rnacentral:rRNA from 1 species